rnacentral:rRNA from 1 species
UACGUAGGGUGCAAGCGUUAAUCGGAAUUACUGGGCGUAAAGCGUGCGCAGGCGGUUUUGUAAGUCUGACGUGAAAUCCGCGGGCUCAACCUGGGAAUUGCGUUGGAGACUGCAAGGCUAGAAUCUGGCAGAGGGGGGUAGAAUUCCACGUGUAGCAGUGAAAUGCGUAGAGAUGUGGAGGAACACCGAUGGCGAAGGCAGCCCCCUGGGUCAAGAUUGACGCUCAUGCACGAAAGCGUGGGGAGCAAACAGG